CCCUUAGAUGUUCUGGGCCGCACGCGCGCUACAAUGGCAAACUCAGCGAGUCUCCUUUACCGACAGGUAUAGGAAAUCUUUUCAGUGUUUGCCGUGAUGGGGCUAGACCCUUGUAAUUAUUGGUCCCCAACGAGGAAUUCCUAGUAAACGCAGGUCAUUAACCUGCAUUGAUUACGUCCCUGCCCUUUGUACACACCGCCCGUCGCACCUACCGAUUGAAUGGUCCGGUGAAGUCUCCGGACUGAGUACUUUUAGUACUUGGGAAGUUGACUAAACCUUACUAUUUAGAGGAAGGUGAAGUCGUAACA
rnacentral:rRNA from 1 species